AGGAGGGUUCCUUUAUUGGCAAGAAGGGUUGAGCUGUAAACUCAAUAACAGUAUUAUGUUUUAAGAGUUCGAAUCUCUUGCCUCCUA
rnacentral:tRNA from 1 species